AGUUAUGAGCUCUCGGGGCUCCAGCAGGGAGGUGCUGGCAGAGAGAAGAGGAGAUAGAUACAACUUUCCAGCAUUUACCUCGAGAGUCUCCUGAAAGACUUCAAGGGAGAAAAGGGGAGAAAAAGAUGUCUCCGUAUCUUUAAAUGGAAAUCCAGCCCUGUGAAAACUUGGGGCGAAUUUCUCCAGGUAAUCAGUCUCAUGGAGCGAUGCCAGAGGAAGAGCUGAAAUAUGGGCAGCGCCCUGUGUCAAGAUCGAGGCCCACCUUCUCCAGAGUCUUCCGCUCCGCUCCUCAGGGAAGGGACCACUCCGUCAGCCAGGCCCUAGCCCUGCACCUCUCGCUUCUCUGUCCUCAGACUCUUUCUUCCAACCUACACAGACACUGACACUCCUCCUACCCUGAAACUGGGUUCUCCCCUUCAACACUGAGCUAAGUGCUUCCCGUACCGGACUGUUUUCACACCUCAGCCCAACUCUAGAAGGGAGGUGCGAUACUUACUUUACAGAAAAGGAAACGGAUGUGCAGGGAUGUUAAAUAGUUGUCCUAAGGUCGCUAUUGAGCAUUGAGGGUCGUGUCUUCCUCUGCUCCAGACUCUUCUAUUCUUCUCAUACUGACAUCAUAAAAAUAAGAUAUAAUUCAUGGCUCUUGGCCAUCGCCUGCUCUUCACUCCUGAAUCCGCUGCGGCAGUCCUGAAUUCUGUCCUCAGCUGCCCCCAGCCCAGUGCUCACUGAUGGCCUUGAAUAGUCACACGCCCCGAGUCCCUGUAUUCCUGGAGCUUGUCCUGCUCAUAGCACUGCUUGAAAGUACUUUUUGGCUCUGAGUACACUAGUCUCUUCCCUCUCCUCACAUAUGCAACUGUUUCCUUUUUGUCACCAAUAUACCUGAGUGUGUCACCAGUCACCCCCAUUUAUUACAAUUGGCCUUUUCACUCUACACCCCUUUACCUGGCACUGACCUCCAGGUGCUAGACAAGGGAAAGUUUGGAGCCUCCAGCCACCUGAAGACAAAGACUUUGCAAUCUGGCUGAGACAGAAAUUAUGGCCCUAGUCCAUAUCAGGUUCAGCUCUGGCUCUACCUGCUAAGAUUACCAGGGGCGGGGAGGUCCCUAAAGACUGGAGCAGUUUGGGAAGGCUUCCUGGAAGAGGUGCUAAGGGCUCUGAUGCUUACAUGAACACACAAGAAAUGAAACACCCAAGAGAGGACCUCCCUGGUGGCACAGGUCUUAAAGUCUCAGAACUAUGGUGCUAUCACCAACCACUGCAGCACAAGUUCAGUCCCUGGCCUGGGAGCUGACCCACAUGGCGCAGCAGACCUCUCCUGUCUUGCCCGCUGCUCCCCUCAGCAGUGCAUUUCAGUAGAUCCGCCUGUUCUGUUCCCCACUCUGUCUCUGGUGAAUCCUCUCACCCCAGCCUCUGGCCUGCACCCCAGUUCUU